UUCGGCUUUUGCGUUUCUCGCUGUGUGUCUCGCUCUCAUUAGUAGCCAGUAGUAUCAGUACUGGCUGUAGUGGAAGAGAUAUAACAUGUGGGGCCUCUGAACGCUUACCAAUGCAAAUCGUCGUACUGUACAUCAGAAUUAUCAAGAGAAGCCAAAAUAGCUCGGUGAUUGGAGAGAUGAUAUAAAACGAAUUAUAUGCAGAGGAGAAAGGAUUAUUAUCUAGCCCUGAUGAUUUGCAGAGUCAAUAUUACUUCCGUUAUAAAGAGAUGUUUUUGCAGAAAACCCCCUAAUUCGAUUGCAAUU